CUUGAAUCUAAACAUCACACAGGCUGAACAUCACAAUUUAGAGCUCUUCUCAGAUGGCCAUGUGAUAUCUUGAUUCCUCCUGGAUAAAGUUGAAGUGUUAAUGACCCCAUCCCUCUGUUGAAGCCUUCUUUCUGCAGACAAAAAACCGCUGCAUUCAUCUGCCUCCACCAACCUCAGUGCAGAUAACACUCAGCAAAACACUGCAUCCUCCAGGAUGGAGGCGGGGAAGUGAGAAAGCCAGCAAACGUGCAUCUGGAUGGUGAAUGCAGAAACACUGAAGCAAGGUAUGUUGUAAAAACAAAAACAACACAGGAACACCUGACCCACAGCCAGGAGCCUCCCCGUUACAUUGGGAACAGCCCUCAUCAGCAUCUCACACUGAGGCAGCUUGAGCUGACGAAGCCUUUGGAAAGCACUGAUUCCUAUGUGUCCUGGAGCACAGCAAGCACAGAUGAUGAUGAAGCCAUCACAGCUGGUUACAGCUUUAUUGCAUGAGCUUGAGCUGCCCAUUCUUUGGUGCCAGUGGAUGGCAUGAUGCUUUGAAAAGGAGCCCAUCAUUGGACAUCAUGGAACCUAAUUGGCACGGUUUGUCACAGCAUCAACACUGGGUAGCUUAGCCUGUAGAGCUGAGGGACCACCUCAGCCUCUCAAAAACUACUGGCACAUGCUGUCUUGCUCUUUCAACACUGCACUGAGAUUUUCAUAUUUCUCCAGCCAAUCUUCCAUUCCCUCUCUUGCAAGGAACAGCAAGAAGGGCAUGUAAAAGGCAAUAGCGAGGCUGGAAAAUCCCAAGUAAGGCUCUACCCCUGGCUGAAGGUCAGGAGAGUGGCCAUAAAUGCUGGCCAAGGCUGGAUCAUGAGAGGCUCCUCAGGGAUGGGGAGCCGUGGACAGAUGUGCGCUCCUGGAUCCAGCUGUGCCACUGGACGUGCUCCCCCCUCCAGACAUUUCUCCCCACCCUCCAGAUGCUCCAGCCCCUGCAGCACAAAGCAGCGUCGCUCACUGGGGUGAACUCUCCAUUGACAGAAUGUUGCAGAGCAUCAUUUCCAGCUAAGGCCAGUAAUGAGUAGCUGGGGCAUGGUGACAUUUCCAGCUGACAGCCCUCUGUGGAAAGAACGUCUGCCUGUGGCUGGAGAAUAACCAAGGUGGCCAAGGAGGAGCGGUUUGAGACAGUUCAGGAUUGCUGGGAGGAGGUCGGCGAGCCAUGCAGCAAAACUAGUUGCAUUUCAUAGAAAAGUGUAAGAAGGGCUUUUAUAGCCAAAGUUGUAGCAGGGAAGCAGGCAAGGAGGGAAGUGAAACUAUGAGCAAACCAAAGGGGCUCGUACUCAGAGCCCCCCUCAAAAUCCCGUCCCCUUAGUUCCCAAAAACGUGUUUUGGGAAAUUUUAGAUUUAAGAAAUCAAUCUGUGUAGGCUGCAGACAUCCUCUGGUAUUCAUCCUCAGUUGUUAAUGGAAGGAUUAGUUAAUGAACAUUUUGAUCCGUAGGUGGCUAUUUUAUAAAUUUUUGGACAACGUGGUCCUGAGAGGCAGAAAGGAAAUGUGGUGGUGAUUUAGAGCAGAAAAGGAUAGAAUAUAAUUCUGGCACUCACCAGCCUAUAAAUAUCGUAGAACAAAUAUUUAAGAAAAAGUCAUGAUGAAAUGUUUAGAGCUUGGUUCUGUCCACACGAUAGUGUCAACAGGGAGAAACUGCAGAAGCCAGAUGCUGAGUAAAAUUACCAGGAGACAAGAGUUGGACUUGAAGAAUGAUGGGCACAGAAAACUUUUCUUCUUUUCCAACUUUUUUUUUUUUUGGUGGGAAGAGGUAUAACGUUAGAGAAUGACAGAGCCAGAAGAUGAAGGGAGCACACAUUUAUGAACAUGUGUUUUUGUUUUGAUUAAUGUAUUCUGCUUCUUUGUCUUAGGAAAUAAGAAAUUAGAAUAAAAAAAAUGUGUUGGUCUGAAACACAGUUUGUGCAAACUGAAAACACAUUGAAAUGCAGUAACUAAUCCCAAACAAGAGCAAGCUGCGUUGAACAAGGCGUGUCCACCAGGGUAGGACAAGAGUCAGGAUCAAGUUUCGUUAACAACUUUGCUGAUGAUCCGAGAGGACAGCACCAGUAUAAAUUGAAAUUCACAGAGGACAGUAAAUUAGAAGCAGAUUAGUAAGUAAGCAGGAGUUUUCUGUGGUUUAGAUCUACUUCUGUUCCAAACACCUGGAAAUUUCCACCCGAUAUGAAGAGGUAUUUCAUGCACUGAAAAAUCUCAUCUCAUUGAGUGACAUUUUCAUUACUCACCACCUAGCCCACUCAGUCUCUUUGUAACCCUCUGAAUGUACUUCUGGGUAUCUUUCACAGGUCUUUCCACAGGUCCAACCCUUCUCUUUGUUAACUUGUGUGACAUUUAGAGACACGUUUCUGGAACACACGUGCACCCAGUGCUUGCAGCCGCCAUCUCCAGGUUUGCUACCUGCCCACUUUCCCCACAUGCAAAGAAAAUCACUUGAAGUCACUCCAGUGAUGGAGUGGUGCGCAUUUGAAUGUAUGCCCCAUCUCCACAUGGCCUCCAGCGCUCUUAUCUGCUAAUAC
rnacentral:lncRNA from 1 species